UAAAAUUAUUUUAAAUAAUAUAUUAGAAAUGAAAUGUUAUUCGUUUUUAAAGGUAUCUAGUUCUUUAAGAAAUAAAUUUAAUUUAGAAAUUUUAUAAUUAUUUAAUUUAAUUUUUAAUUAUAUAAGUAUUUAAUUUUAAUAUUUUAUGGGAUAAGCUAUAAAAUAAAAUUUUAAAAAUUAAUAAAAUAAUUUAAUAAAUAUAAACUUAGAAAUAGUUAAUAUUAAUAAAAAUGUUAUAAUUUAUUUAAUUAAUUAUAUUAUUUAUUUUGUUUUAAAUUUUUAUUAAAGUAUUUAUUUUAAUUUUAAAAAUAAAAUAAUAAUGAUAAAAUUAGUAUAUAUAUAAUUGUUUAAAUAUAUUAAUAUGAAAAGUUUUUAUAAAGAAUUCGGCAAAAAUAAUGUUCGCCUGUUUAACAAAAACAUGUCUUUUUAGUUUAUUUAAAAAGUUUAACCUGCCCACUGAAAAUUUAAAUGGCCGCAGUAUUUUAACUGUGCAAAGGUAGCAUAAUCAUUAGUCUUUUAAUUGAAGGCUGGUAUGAAUGGUUGGACGAAAUAUUAACUGUUUCAUAAUAAAUUUUAUUUAGAAUUUUAUUUUUUAGUUAAAAAGCUAAAAUUUAUUUAAAAGACGAGAAGACCCUAUAAAUCUUUAUAUUUAAAUUAUAAUAAUAAUGAUUGAAAUUUUUUUAUUAUUUUAAUUGAUAAUAUUUUAUUGGGGUGAUAUUAAAAUUUACAAAACUUUUAAUUUUACUUAUCAUUAAUUUAUGAUUUAUUGAUCCAUUUUUAAUGAUUAAAAAAUUAAGUUACUUUAGGGAUAACAGCGUAAUUUUUUUGGAAAGUUCUUAUUGAUAAAAAAGAUUGCGACCUCGAUGUUGGAUUAAGAUAUAAUUUUAGGUGUAGUUGCUUAAAUUUUAAGUCUGU
rnacentral:rRNA from 1 species